AGCAGGUAAUGCAACGGUUAGUGCAAUCACACUGCAAUGUGAAGGUUAUUGGUUUGAAUCCAUUUCCUGCUG
rnacentral:tRNA from 1 species